rnacentral:rRNA from 1 species
UACGGGGGGGGCAAGCGUUGUUCGGAAUUACUGGGCGUAAAGGGUUCGUAGGUGGCCAACUAAGUCAGACGUGAAAUCCCUCAGCUUAACUGGGGAACUGCGUCUGAUACUGGUUGGCUUGAGUGCAGGAGAGGAACGCGGAAUUCCAGGUGUAGCGGUGAAAUGCGUAGAUAUCGGGAAGAACACCGGUGGCGAAGGCGGCUCGCUGGGCCAUUGCUGACGCUGAGGCGCGAAAGCGUGGGGAGCGAACAGG